UACGUAGGGCGCAAGCGUUGUCCGGAAUUAUUGGGCGUAAAGAGCUUGUAGGCGGUUUGUCGCGUCUGCUGUGAAAAUCCGGGGCUCAACCCCGGACUUGCAGUGGGUACGGGCAGACUAGAGUGUGGUAGGGGAGACUGGAAUUCCUGGUGUAGCGGUGAAAUGCGCAGAUAUCAGGAGGAACACCAAUGGCGAAGGCAGAUCUCUGGGCCGUAACUGACGCUGAGGAGCGAAAGCAUGGGGAGCGAACAGG
rnacentral:rRNA from 1 species